rnacentral:snoRNA from 1 species
AAGACUACUUUUCGGGAUUAUUUCUAUAGUUCUUUACAAAAGAAGUUUCUCUGACUGCGAAGCUCAGGGAAACCACAAGUAGGAGAGGGCGCAGUGUUCUCUGUUGAACGUGAAGUUGGUUUCUGGUGUUGCUUCUGCAACUGCCGUUAGUGAUAGGUCUUCUCUUCCUUUGGGAGAGCGAGAGGGGGAGGACGCUGUCUGGGU